CUACGCUUCCUGUACCUUUAAGUUCUCAAACCUUAUCUGAUUGGACAAAACAGAAACAUAAGGCGUAGUUUUGCUCGGAAGAUUCAGAAAGACGUGACUUGUGCUAAGAAUCGAUAUUUUUUGAAAAUAAACAUGAUCAAUCAUACUAACCGGAAGCGCGGAUCUUUCAGGAUUUUUUUCUUAGUUUUUUAGUUGUUUUGGAUUAAAAUGUGGGAUGCGUCUUAAAGGGUGAACCCUUAUACGUUGCAAUGUUCUGGUGUUUCUUGGAUUCGUCCGAAAUGAUCUGGGCCGGGUUCCCCGAUAACGUUCACUCUUAGCGUGCUAAGAAGACUCAAAAAGAUAUAACGUUAUCUUACCAAAGUUGUUGAUGUGAAACAGACCGGAUUCGACUCGCGAUCGUUAUAAGGCCUUCAACUGACACAGAUAAUGACUGGAGUCUGGAGUCCAAUCCCGAGCGAGCACAUUCAACAUAACAAGUGCACAUUUUUUGUUUGGAUAAAAGCUCACAGAAACUAAAACCAGAUGUAUGCAGCUUUGCCAGGCGUGCAGCACCAGCGUAAACCAGCUAAGACCACUCUUCUAAGCUUUCAGCCUGGUAAAGCUGGUUUUUCGAUCUGAACAGCUAUAAGUGGACUCUAAAAACCUCUCUAAAACCAGCCUGCUACACCAGCUAAAACCAAACUGGGAGACCAGGUCAACUAGCUUAGGUCCACGUGCUCAUCUUCACUCAAACCUUUGCAGAGAAAUGAAACAGUGACUGCAUGUUUGAUCUACAGUCGCCACCUGCUGGUGAUAAAAAUGAAUAACAUUAAUAGAAAGUAUGACUUCAACAUAUUUUUGGUGGUAUGGUACAGUGCUUUAUAUAGAUUAAUGGUAUAUCUCUAUUUAUAGUUGUAUUAUGCCACAUUUAACCUCCUAAGACCUGGAUGUCACGUAUGUGGACAUCAAUGUUUUUGUUGUUUGCACCAUAAUACUUAAUUCUGUGUAACUGGAACCUGUUAUACACAAACAUGGACAAAUACACUGCUUCAUGUUCAAAGAAAAAUAUUUGAUUAUUAUAUUUAUUGGAUCCCCAAAAUAGCUGGUAGAAAUCUGAAAAUAAAAGACAAACCAAAGCUCGGUCUUAGGAGGUUAAUUUAGGCUUCAUGUUAUCUGACCAAAGAUAGGAGAUUGUUGCAUAAAAUUGGUUUGGGGCAGAAAAAAAUAUUUUGGUAGUGGAAACAUUUUUUAAGAUCUUUUCCUCUCAUCUCAUUCAGUAUUUUGUCCAACACCAUGACCCUUUAGUCUCUGUGGUGGUUCUUCAUGAGUCAACAUGUCAAAUGUCCUUUAAUGUUUUUGGGAAUUACAGUGUUUAGUGAAUUUAACCCUGCAGUAAAUCCAGCAAUAUGUAACUCUGUUGAUGCUUUAACUGCUGUAAGGGAUGAGGGAUUAUAAUCUUACUUAAUGUCUGUUUUUGACUGACUGCCGGUGUUUAACUAUUUGAUAUGCGUGAAGGAUUUUGAGCAAUUAAAAAACCUUUUGUAUGUAUCAUGCAUUAAAAUAUAUGACCUCUGAUGCUUUUGAUGAUUUAAAUAAAAUCUCCAUACAAUCUGA